UACGUAGGUGGCAAGCGUUGUCCGGAAUUAUUGGGCGUAAAGCGCGCGCAGGCGGCGGUGUAAGUCUCGUGUUUAAGGCCAAGGCUCAACCUUGGUACGCACGGGAAACUGCGUCGCUCGAGUGCAGGAGAGGAGAGCGGAAUUCCACGUGUAGCGGUGAAAUGCGUAGAUAUGUGGAGGAACACCAGUGGCGAAGGCGGCUCUCUGGCCUGUAACUGACGCUGAGGCGCGAAAGCGUGGGGAGCGAACAGG
rnacentral:misc_RNA from 1 species